rnacentral:rRNA from 1 species
GUCCACGCUGUAAACGAUGAGUGCUAGAUAUCGGGAGAAUUUCUUUCGGUUUCGUAGCUAACGCAUUAAGCACUCCGCCUGGGGAGUACGGUCGCAAGAUUAAAACUCAAAGGAAUUGACGGGGCUCGCACAAGCGGUGGAGCAUGCGGUUUAAUUCGAUGUCACGCGAAAACCUUACCAACCCUUGACAUGGUGGUCGCGGGAAGCAGAGAUGCAUCCCUUCAGUUCGGCUGGACCACACACAGGUGUUGCAUGGCUGUCGU